UGCAAUUGUUAAUUCAUACAGACCACAAGCACGGGUCUUGGAGCAAAAUUAACAGAGACAGAGUAGAGAAAAGUAGUGAAACGAAGGGAUUUAAUACACACAAUGGUUUCCUCCAAACACUUAGUCCUCAUUGCCCUAUUGGGCUUCUCCACCAUCUGUCAUGCCAUCAACAUGGAGAGCAUGAUCGAUGAAGAAAAUGCCAAAUGUGAAAGUGGCAGUGACAGCAUGGCCUGCGUGAAAGUAAGAGCUAUGAGAUUUUUGGAUACCGUUAUGACUAAAGAAGAUUUCAAGAUCUCCAAUGUUGAGGUUAAAUCAAAUGGUUAUCAAGCUCCUACAUCGGUUGAAGGUAGAUCCAGCAGUGGUGACUUCUUUGAUGCUAUUGAAAACUAUAUCCAAGGUCAUGACGUUACCAUGGACUUGCCUAUGGCUGAUGCCAAAGUCACUGUCUCAUCCCGUAAUUUGAAAAACGAUGAAUUAAGUCUUAAUGUCAAAUUUGCGGGUGAGGGUGUCGUCGAAGGCAAGGGCAAGAAACAUCGUUUGCGUAAAAUGGCCAUGCCCAUUAUGGUCUUGAUCUUGUUGAAGGCUAUCACCAUCAUCCCCAUGGCUAUUGGUAUCUUGAAGAUUAAGGCUUUGAACGCUUUGGGUUUGGGUUUCUUCUCUUUCAUUGUUUCGGUUGGUUUGGCCAUUUUCCAAUUGUGCAAGAAGGCAAUAUUUGGAUGUUAGAAGGGUGAUAAAUAAAGCGAAGAGAGCUAAAGUGGAGAAAUGGCGUUAAAACAUAAGUGAGAGAUUGUAAUUUUAAACGUUAUUAUAAACAUACCAAAGACUAAAGCAUACAUAAAUCAAGGAUUGCCGCUGAACACCAUCACUCUGCCCACAUCACCUCCCAUGGUCCAUGGGAUGGACGUUCUGUCAGUUCUAUUGCCAGCGUAGAACAAUUCGAAUCAAAUCCCUCCGCCCAAAACUUGGCCUACAGUGCUUACAAUUAAGUUUUAGUAACAUACCAAAAAAAACAACAUAAAGCCCCCUACCUUACCUCCCUACUUUCCCCUUUCCUACUCCGUUAUACAUAACAAGGAAAACAAAACAAGAACAAAAGAAUAUGUAAAAGCUUCUUAAAACAACAACGACAACCUCUAACAAGUUUAAGUAUACGAGUAACUGGCCAAAAAGAACAAAUUUUAAAUUAUGGAAAAAAGGUUCAACAACAGAUGACAUCUCUAGGUCAUUGUUUUUUCCGUUCAUGUUCAUUCAUUUCUGGCAAAUGAUUGAUUUUAAAUUGGAAUGAAAUUUAUAGAAGCGGAAAUUUAAAUUACCACCUUCUAGUUGUUUCUUUUCCAAUUUAUUAGUUGAUCCUUUUCCAUUUCACUUUGUUGACUUCAGAACUCAUAUAUUUAGGCCGGGUCAAUUCCAAAGAAUAUAUUUUUAUAAUUUUUAUUUAUAAAAAUGUGAAGUUUUUAUAUGCAACUUUUGUUUACACUUAGUUGAGUUUAAUUUAUUUAUUUUUGUAAUUUUAAUAAUUUAUUUAUUGUAAAAAACCCAAAAAAAACAUGAAAAAAAGAA